UUAAAUCCUAAGAAAAGGGAUAGUAAUCAGGAUGCAAUGUUAAAGAGAGCUGAUGAUGGUGAGAUUUCAGCACGGUAGCUAAUGAUGAAUGGGCCUUUGAGGAGCGAAAUGAAAUUUUUAAAAGAGUAGUUUAGCCGUAAGUCGCACGUUAUAGCGAAUAAGAUAUGUUAGUAUCUGAUAAUGAGAGGCAUUUUUAUGCAAUCUAGGUGGCAACGCGGAUAAUCUCCGUCCUAUUA
rnacentral:ncRNA from 1 species